GAAGGAUUUAGUUUAAUUAAAACGGUUGUUUUGCAUGCAGCAGAUGUUAGAUGAAGUCUUGCAGUCCUUA
rnacentral:tRNA from 1 species